AAUUGUUUUUUUUUACGUCCGUCCUUCAUUUUUCUCUUGCUCCACUAAAUAUUGAUGAGAGAUAAAGAGAAGGGAAUUAGAAAUGGGGUGAAUGAAACUGAUUCAGGGGAGGAGAGAGAAUAGAGAAGGAAAUGAAGUAAGAAUGUAAAAAAAGAAAGAAAAAAAGAAAUAUCAUUAGGCUUCGUAGUUUAAUACUACACGUCUUUUUUUUUAAAUUUUUCAAGCUCUGCAGUGCAGUUUAAUAGUGUGGAUGUCAAUUUUUUUGAAUUGUAAAGAAAGGAUAAUUUGGUAAUCCAUUUUGUUCACAGUUUAAUACUGCAGAAUAUUGAAAAUUAAACUGCGGAUGAGAGAUCUAUUUAACCGUUAGAUCAUCGGAUGGACGGUCACGAUGUGUUGUAAGUAUAACCUUAAGUUAACAUUGUUAACUAUGAAUCAGUCCUCAUAUAUAUAUAUAUAUAUAUAUAUAUAUAUAUAUAUAAAUUAGAAAUAAACUUUUAUUUUAACACAGAAGGGGCAAAAAUUCCUCUAAUAUUGACAAAUUUUAGCGGCAAUGCAUAAAGAUAGAAUUUUAACUCCUAAUUAAAACAAAUUAAACAACUUAAUUUCAAACUCAUCCAAUCAACAUUUAGUGUCUGCAAUUUUUUAUCUCUAAACCCAUUUUUUUUAAACAAAUUAAAUUCGGAUGAAGCUGCUUAGAUCCAAGAUGAACAACCUCCAUGUUUUCCAUUAUUACAUGACACAAGAUCAUAUACUGUAAACCCAUUUUCGUCAACAUCACAAUAAUUUGCGGUGUAGUCAAAAAAGUGAAGCUGAAUACUAAUUUUUAACACACAUUAACAACAUUAAGAGAUGCAGUUCAAGCAAAACUCUGAAUCUUUUUUGAGUGGCCAUAUUAAGAACAUUGAUUAAAAGCAAUUGCGAAAUCAUAAAGUUCCCUUUCAGUUUAGAAGUAAAAAAAUAAAGAACUAUUAUAAGUAACACAACCAUCAAAUCUCAAAUACUGAUAAGGAAAAAAUAAAUUCUCAUAAAAUUUUAUGAACUCCAAAAUCAAAACACAAAAUACAGAAAACUGAAACACAACCUGAAGGCUUAGACAAUGAUACUAAAAGCCAACAUGAUAGAGCUAUCAACUAACACGCAAAAUUACUUAGAUCUCUGCCUCAUCUUUCGUCGUUUUCUCUUCAACCUCCUCAUUCUCUUCUAAAAAUCUAAAAGAGAAAGAUCAAUCGGGUGAGGGGAAAUUAAUUAUACUUUGGCCCAUGGUGAUGAAUUGGGGAUUUGUUUUAGCCUCCUCUGUCUUCCAAAACCCUAAUAAGACUGCGGAGGAAAUGAGAAAGAGAGAUAAAAAUGUUUCUUUUAGCGUUAUGUUGGAGAACGAUUUCGAGAAAUGACAUAAAAGUUGAAGCUCUGAUCGGCGAACCCGGGAUUUGUGGGAUAAAAGUUAAAGCUCUGAUCGGCAAACAAGAAAAAUAGAUCUGAGUUAAAUGGGUUCAGAGAUAGAAAGCUUUAGAGAGAGAAAAAAUGGAUUUGAUAAAGAUGGAUUUAGAGAGAAAAAAUAAAUUUGAAUUUUUUGGGUUCAAAAAUUUGUUCAAAAAUAAAUAGAUCUGAGUUAAAUGGGAUGUGUUUUAAUUUGCUGAUGACAUGGUAAUUCAAUUUUUUUUUUAAAAAUAAAAUAAAAAAUUGAAUUCUUGUUUUUUAUGGGAUUGGGUUCAUUUUAAAUUUUAUUUUUUUCAUUGUACCGCCUCUUUUUUUUUGAAAACUCUUAUUUGGUGUUUUGGAAACUUUCUUUGCAAUACUAUCGUAUUCUCUGUCUGGUGUCUGUUUAUAUUGUUGGUUGAUUGGUGG
rnacentral:lncRNA from 1 species